rnacentral:rRNA from 1 species
AUUGAACGCUGGCGGCAGGCCUAACACAUGCAAGUCGAGCGAGCGGCGGACGGGUGAGUAAUGUGUGGGAAACUGCCUGAUGGAGGGGGAUAACAACUGGAAAAGGGAGCUAAUACCGCACACCAUCAGAUGUGCCCAGAUGGGAUUAGCUAGUAGGUGGGGUAACGGCUCACCUAGGCGACGAUCCCUAGCUGGUCUGAGAGGAUGACCAGCCACACUGGAACUGAGACACGGUCCAGACUCCUACGGGAGGCAGCAGUGGGGAAUAUUGCACAAUGGGCGCAAGCCUGAUGCAGCCAUGCCGCGUGUGUGAAGAAGGCCUUCGGGUUGUAAAGCUCUUUCAGCGGGGAGGCGUUACCCGCAGAAGAAGCACCGGCUAACUCCGUGCCAGCAGCCGCGGUAAUUC